GCGCCGAGGCUCUGCUGCGGAUCCAGGAGUGCCUGCGGGGCUCCCGCCUGCCCCAGGCCCUGCGCCUGCUGCGCUCGGCCAGGGAGGUGUGGCCCGAAGGGGACGUGUUUGGAGCCGCGGAUGCGGGGCCGCCUGAGGAGACCCAGCUGCUGCGGGAGAUCCUCGUCGCUCCCCUGCCCGGGCACGCUCCCACCGAGCCCGAGGAGCAGGAGGAAGAGGAAGAGGAGGAUGAGGAAGAGGAGGAGCAGACCGUGCAGGUGUCAGAGAAGGAAUUCAACUUCCUCGACUACCUGAAGCGGUGAGAAGGGUUUGGGGAGAGCUGGGGGGGGGUCCCCUGCGGGGCAGCUGCACUGACGGGGUGUCAUGAU